GGAAGGUUGGCCGAGCGGUUGAAGGCGCACGUUUGGAGUACGUGUUUGCACUCUGUGUAACUAGGGUUCGAAUCCCUAACCUUCCG
rnacentral:tRNA from 1 species